rnacentral:rRNA from 1 species
UUACGGCAAUAUCACGUUAAAACAAUGGUUCCCGUACGAUCACCGAGGUUAAGCAACGUCGAUCCUGGUCAGUACCUACAUGGGUAGCCGUUUGGGAAUACAAGAUGUUGUAAG